rnacentral:rRNA from 1 species
UACGUAGGUGGCAAGCGUUUGUCCGGAAUUAUUGGGCGUAAAGCGCGCGCAGGCGGUCCUUUAAGUCUGAUGUGAAAUCCCACGGCUCAACCGUGGAAGUGCACUCGAAACUGCGUAGCUAGAGUCCUGGAGAGGAAGGUGGAAUGCUUGGUGUAGAGGUGAAAUUCGUAGAUAUCAAGCGGAACACCGGUGGCGAAGGCGGCCUUCUGGACAGUGACUGACGCUGAGACGCGAAAGCGUGGGGAAGCAAACAGG